rnacentral:rRNA from 1 species
AGAGUUUGAUCCUGGCUCAGGAUUAACGCUGGCGGUGCGCCUAAUACAUGCAAGUCGAGCGUGAUCACAUGGUAAGCAAUUAUUGUGUGUGAAAGCGGCGAACGGGUGAGUAACACGUUGGAAUCUACCUUGAACUCAGGGAUAACUAACCGAAAGGUUAGCUAAUACCUGAUAGUCUCGUAAGAGUAAAGCUUCGGCGGUUCAAGAGGAGCCUGCGUUCUAUCAGCUAGUUGGUAAGGUAAUGGCUUACCAAGGCUAUGACGGAUAGCUGGUCUGAGAGGAUGAUCAGCCACAAUGGGACUGAGAUACGGCCCAUACUCCUACGGGAGGCAGCAGUAAGGAAUUUUCCGCAAUGGGCGAAAGCCAGACGGAGCGACACCGCGUGAAGGAUGAAGUUCUAAUCGAGCGUAAACUACUGUGGUAAGGGAAGAAGGUGCACUUUGUGCACUUGACGGUACCUUACUAGAAAGGGGCCGCUAACUGCGUGCCAGAAGCGUCGGUAAUACGUGGGCCCCAAACAUUAUCCGGUUUUACUGGGUGUAAAAAGUCGUGUAGGUUUCUCAUUAAGUCUUGUUUCAAAUUCUACGGCUCAACCGUAGACAGGGGCAGGAUACUGAUAGGAUUGAGAUUUCUUUAGGGAGAUCGGAACUCAAGGAGGAGUAGUGAAAUGCGUUGAUACCUUGGGGAACACCAGUGGCGAAAGCGGAUCUCUGGAAGAUUUCUGACACUGAGACACGAAAGCUAGGGGAGCGAAGCAGAUUAGAGACCUGCGUAGUCCUAGCUGUAAACGCAUGCUUGCUAGCCGCAUUUUUUGACCUUCGGGUCACAAGGUGUAGCGUAGGUAACCCGUUAAGCAAGCCACCUGGGGAGUACGGCCGCAAGGUUGAAACUCAAAGGAAUUGGCGGGGAGGCACACAACCAGUGGAACAUGUGGUUCAAUUCGAAACGAACCGAAGAACCUCACCAGGGUUUGACAUGAAAGAGUCCUAUUCUGCAGAAAUGCAGAAAAUUCGCAAGAAGGCUUUCACAGGUGCUGCAUGGCUGUCGUCAGCUCGUUCCGUGAGGAGUGCCCUUAAGUGGGACAACGAGCGCAACCCUUGUCUUGUGUUAAAUCUAUCACAAGAGACUGCCCUGAUAUUUUAUCGGGGAGGAAGGAGAGGCAGACGUCAAGUCAGCAUGGUCCUUAUACCCUGGGCUACACACAUGUUACAAUGCAACGCAACAACGGGCUUAGCCAGACCGCAAGGUCGAGCAAAUCCCUGAAAUCGUUGCUCAGUGGGGAUUGAGGUCUGCAACCCGACCUCAUGAACGCGGAAUUGGUAGUAAUCGCAGAUCAGCUACGCUGCGGUGAAUACGUUCUUGCCUCUUGCACACACCGCCCGUCAAGCCAACAAAGUCGGGGACACCUGAAUUUCGAUGUAUAUCGGAAGAGGGUAUCGCCGGCGAUGGGGGUUAAGUCGUAACAAGGUAACC